ACAUCCUCAACCUUUCUUUGGUUUCUUGACCAAGGGAAAGCUUGGACUUUGGAGGUUUUUAUUUUUGCUGGCUUCCUCAGAAGUCAGCUCCUCCUAAAUGAAUUAGUAGGGUCUGCUUUGCAGAUCCUUGAUGUGAUAAGGUAUUUCUACAUCUUGGAUCAUGCACAAGUCAGUUUUGGAUUCUGCUUCUAACUGUCUUUGCUAAAGACAAUGUUGCGAA
rnacentral:misc_RNA from 1 species